rnacentral:RNase_P_RNA from 1 species
GGAGUUGGCCAGGCAAUCGCGCUGUAUUUGCAUCUUUGAUGUAAGUGCAGGGAGGAAAGUCCGGGCUCCAUAGGACAGAGUGCCAGGUAAUUCCUGGGGGGCGCGAGCCUACGGCAAGUGCCACAGAAAAUAUACCGCCUGCCGAUUCGUCGGCAGGUAAGGGUGAAAUGGUGCGGUAAGAGCGCACCGCGUGCCUGGUAACAGGUAUGGCAGGGUAAACCCCACUCGGAGCAAGACCAAAUAGGGGGACAUAAUGCGUGGUCCGCGCUGUUCCCGGGUAGGUUGCUUGAGGUAUGCGGCGACGUAUUAUCCAGAUGAAUGAUUGCCCACGACAGAACCCGGCUUAUCGGCCAACUCCCACU